rnacentral:lncRNA from 1 species
GCUCUGUGGGGGUGGUCCUCACCCACAGAGAUCCCCAUGCAAGGGCAUCUGGAAGGGACACUGGUCUUUACCGUUCAGGGUGGCAGCGGAAGUCGUGCGACCCCACACUCUGACUCACGCUUCUUCUACCUUUCUAAACUUGGAAGCCGGGCCUGUGUCUGCUGUCUGCCAGGUGAGGACGCAGUGCGAAGAUGGCAGCCUGCGAGCCGGAAAGGGGACUCUCGCGAGACUCUGAGCGAGCUGGCAUCCUGACCUCAGACUUCCGGCCUGCAGACCUGGGGACGUCUGCUGUUUUAGCUGCCUGCCUUGGGGUCUAUCCCUGUGGCAGCCUGAGCUGAGACAGAAGUCAUUUCCUAAGGUCAGAAGCUCAGAAUAAAGAACCAUUUCUACCUAAGUCCAGCGCAGUUUUCCACUCGUGGUGCCUUUUUUGAGAUGGCAGGAACACAGCCCUGUGAGGUCAGAGCUGUCAGAAGCCCCUGAGAAGCAGUGUGCAUUGGGAAGGGGCCCGAGACACCAAUGGAAGAACCUGGAGCCAUUUCUGGAGACCCGGGAUGUAUCUGGCAUUCCCAGAGGGCUGGCAGCUGCUUUCUCUUGAGCCCGAGCUGGCCGUGGUGGAGGAGUCUUGCCCACGAGCCAUGCCUGGGAGCGCCUGGGAGCUCAGCCUCUAUGUGAAGGGCUGCACUCCAGCUCCGAGGCAGGGGCCACCAUGGCAGACUGGUGUUUCUGCGAC